rnacentral:rRNA from 1 species
AUGCCUUUUGGUUUAUGUAAUGCACCUGCUACCUUUCAAAGAUGCAUGAUGGCUAUAUUCUCUGACUUUUGUGAAAAGAUUUGUGAGGUUUUCAUGGACGAUUUCUCCGUCUAUGGAUCCUCUUUUGAUGAUUGCUUGAGCAACCUUGAUCGAGUUUUGCAGAGAUGUGAAGAAACUAAUCUUGUCUUGAAUUGGGAAAAGUGCCACUUUAUGGUUAAUGAAGGUAUUGUCUUAAGGCAUAAGGUUUCUGAAAGAUGUAUUGAGGUUGAUAAAGCCAAGGUUGAUGCUAUUGAAAAGAUGCCAUGUCCCAAGGACAUCAAAGGUAUAAGAAGUUUCCUUGGUCAUGCCGGUUUUUAUAGGAGGUUCAUUAAGAACUUCUCAAAAAUUUCUCGGCCUCUGACUAAUUUAUUACAAAAAGAUAUACCAUUUGUCUUUGAUGAUGAUUGUGUAGAAGCAUUUGAAAUACUUAAGAAAGCACUGAUCUCUGCACCUAUUGUUCAGCCACCUGAUUGGAAUUCACCUUUUGAAAUUAUGUGUGAUGCUAGUGAUUAUGCUGUAGGUGCUGUUCUAGGGCAAAGAGUUGAUAAGAAAUUAAAUGUUAUUCAAUAUGCUAGUAAAACUCUAGACAAUGCUCACAGAAAUUAUGCUACUACUGAAAAAGAAUUCCUAGCAGUUGUAUUUGCUUGUGAUAAGUUCAGGCCUUAUAUUGUUGAUUCUAAAGUAACUAUUCACACUGAUCAUGCUGCUAUUAAAUAUCUUAUGGAAAAGAAAGAUGCUAAACCUAGACUUAUUAGAUGGGUUCUCUUGAUACAAGAAUUUGAUUUGCAUAUUAUUGAUAGAAAGGGAGCUGAGAACCUCGUUGCAGACAACUUGUCUAGGUUAGAAAAUGUUCUUGAUGACCCACUACCUAUUGAUGAUAGCUUUCCUGAUGAGCAAUUAAAUGUCAUAAAUACUUCUCAUACUGCUCCAUGGUAUGCUGAUUAUGCUAAUUACAUCGUUGCUAAAUUUAUACCACCUAGUUUCACAUACCAGCAAAAGAAAAAGUUUUUCUACGAUUUGAGACAUUACUUCUGGGAUGACCCACAUCUUUAUAAAGAAGGAGUAGAUGGUGUUAUUAGACGUUGUGUACCUGAGCAUGAACAGGAACAGAUCCUACGCAAGUGUCACUCCGAAGCUUAUGGAGGACACCACACUGGAGAUAGAACUGCACAUAAGGUAUUGCAAUCCGGUUUUUAUUGGCCUACUCUCUUCAAGGAUGCCCGUAAGUUUGUCUUGUCUUGUGAUGAAUGUCAAAGAAUUGGUAAUAUUAGUAGACGUCAAGAAAUUCCUAUGAAUUAUUCACUUGUUAUUGAACCAUUUGAUGUUUGGGGCUUUGAUUAUAUGGGACCUUUUCCUGCCUCUAAUGGAUACACACAUAUUUUAGUUGUUGUUGAUUACGUUACUAAGUGUGUAGAAGCUAUCCCAACUAGUAGUGCUGAUCAUAACACCUCUAUUAAAAUGCUUAAAGAGGUUAUUUUUUGA